rnacentral:rRNA from 1 species
GAUGAACGCUCGCUACAGGCUUAACACAUGCAAGUCGAGGGGCAGCGGGAUUGAAGCUUGCUUCAAUUGUCGGCGACCGGCGCACGGGUGAGUAACGCGUAUCCAACCUUCCGUACACUCAGGGAUAGCCUUUCGAAAGACAGAUUAAUACCUGAUGGUAUGAUGAGAUUGCAUGAUAUCAUCAUUAAAGAUUUAUCGGUGUACGAUGGGGAUGCGUUCCAUUAGGUAGUAGGCGGGGUAACGGCCCACCUAGCCAACGAUGGAUAGGGGUUCUGAGAGGAAGGUCCCCCACAUUGGAACUGAGGCACGGACCAAACUCCUACGGGAGGCAGCAGUGAGGAAUAGUGGUCAAGGGACGAGAGUGUGAACCAGCCAAGUAGCGUGAAGGAUGAAGGGCCUACGGAUUGUAAACUUCUUUUAUAAGGGAAUAAACCCUCCCACGUGUGGGGGCUUGUAUGUACCUUAUGAAUAAGCAUCGGCUAACUCCGUG